UACGGGGGGGGCAAGCGUUGUUCGGAAUUACUGGGCGUAAAGGGCUCGUAGGCGGCCAACUAAGUCAGACGUGAAAUCCCUCGGCUUAACCGGGGAACUGCGUCUGAUACUGGAUGGCUAGAGGUUGGGAGAGGGAUGCGGAAUUCCAGGUGUAGCGGUGAAAUGCGUAGAUAUCUGGAGGAACACCGGUGGCGAAGGCGGCAUCCUGGACCAAUUCUGACGCUGAGAAGCGAAAGCCAGGGGAGCAAACGGG
rnacentral:rRNA from 1 species